rnacentral:rRNA from 1 species
UACGGGGGGGGUAAGCGUUGUUCGGAAUUACUGGGCGUAAAGGGCUCGUAGGCGGCCAACUAAGUCGGACGUGAAAUCCCUCAGCUUAACUGGGGAACUGCGUCCGAUACUGGAUGGCUUGGAUUUGGGAGAGGGAUGCGGAAUUCCAGGUGUAGCGGUGAAAUGCGUAGAUAUCUGGAGGAACACCGGUGGCGAAGGCGGCAUCCUGGACCAACAUUGACGCUGAUGCGCGAAAGCGUGGGGAGCGAUCCGG